GAAGCUGGAGUUGCUAGUAAUCNCGAAUCAGCAUGUCGCGGUGAAUACGUUCCCGGGCCUUGUACACACCGCCCGUCACACCAUGAGAGUUGGCAAUACCCAACGUACGUGAUCUAACCCGCAAGGGAGGAAGCGUCCUAAGGUAGGGUCAGCGAUUGGGGUGAAGUCGUAACAAGGUAGC
rnacentral:rRNA from 1 species